GUAGUACUCUCUCAAUUCAAAAAUACUUGUUCAAGGAAUGGAUGUAUCUAGAUAUAUUUUAGUUUUAGAUAUAUCCAUUUGUAUUCAUUUCUAUGACAAGUAUUUUCGGACGGAGGGAGUACUAG
rfam:Triticum aestivum genome assembly, contig: Triticum_aestivum_CS42_TGACv1_scaffold_375120_5AL